GUGAUGGCAUGCAAAUACUGCUAGACGCCACUGAGCGGUUGUCCUCUAGAGAGCCAUUCUGGACAAUAGGGACCUGCAGUGUCUCAGGUAUCUGCUGUGUCUCAGGACUACAUUGGUUACAUUGACCUCUGAUAAAGAUCUGGCUCAGUGGAUGUGGUCUCUCCCAUCCUCCCUCCCUGCCUGUCAGCCUAGCAGAGAGCAGUCUGGCAACACGUGCUGAGACACUGAAAUUGUUCAGAGUGACCGCUGGGAUGAAGUGAUGUACUGUGGCUGUUAUAACUUUUUAUUCAACCUUUAACCAGGUAAGUAAUUG